rnacentral:rRNA from 1 species
CCUACGGGAGGCUGCAGUGGGGAAUAUUGCACAAUGGGGGAAACCCUGAUGCAGCGACGCCGCGUGAGUGAAGAAGUAAUUCGGUAUGUAAAGCUCUAUUAGCAGGGAAGAAAAUGACGGUACCUGAGUAAGAAGACCCGGCUAACUACGUGCAAGCAGCAGCGGUAAUACGUAGGGGGCAAGCGUUAUCCGGAUUUACUGGGUGUAAAGGGGGCGUAGACGGCAGUGCAAGUCUGGAGUGAAAGGCGGGGGCUCAACCCCCGGACUGCACUGGAAACUGUACGUCUGGAGUGCAGGAGAGGUAAGCGGAAUUCCUAGUGUAGCGGUGAAAUGCGUAGAUAUUAGGAGGAACACCAGUGGCGAAGGCGGCUUACUGGACUGUAACUGACGUUGAGGCGCGAAAGCGUGGGGAGCAAACAGGAUUAGAUACCCGAGUAGUC